rnacentral:rRNA from 1 species
GGACGAACGCUGGCGGCGUGCCUAAUACAUGCAAGUCGAGCGAGCGGAACCAACAGAUUUACUUCGGUAAUGACGUUGGGAAAGCGAGCGGCGGAUGGGUGAGUAACACGUGGGGAACCUGCCCCUAAGUCUGGGAUACCAUUUGGAAACAGGUGCUAAUACCGGAUAAUAAAGCAGAUCGCAUGAUCAGCUUUUGAAAGGCGGCGUAAGCUGUCGCUAAGGGAUGGCCCCGCGGUGCAUUAGCUAGUUGGUAAGGUAACGGCUUACCAAGGCGACGAUGCAUAGCCGAGUUGAGAGACUGACCGGCCACAUUGGGACUGAGACACGGCCCAAACUCCUACGGGAGGCAGCAGUAGGGAAUCUUCCACAAUGGACGCAAGUCUGAUGGAGCAACGUCGCGUGAGUGAAGAAGGUUUUCGGAUCGUAAAGCUCUGUUGUUGGUGAAGAAGGAUAGAGGUAGUAACUGGCCUUUAUUUGACGGUAAUCAACCAGAAAGUCACGGCUAACUACGUG